GAUCAGGAUAUAGGGAGCCACUGUCUGGCAGGGCCACUGAUGCAGGCAGUUGAAUUUCUAUCCGUUUCUAAACUAUACCGUCUUUGGUUCCAUUCUCGUGUGGAUAGCUAAGUGAGGUCUGCGCUCCAGCUUGCUUGUUUUUUUCUUUCACCGCUGUGCACACACACACACAAUGAUAUUUGGCUAAAUGAUUUCAGUGGUAACGGGGCAUGCUUAGUCAAUGCAAUGAUACAAAUGAUGGAGUGUCAUUCCAGAAGUUCUUAAAAGCUGCAAAACACUCACUAGCAGGGUAGAUGGCUAUGCUAACGAGCUAUCUAGCUGAUAGCUUUAGCGUUCAUCACAGGUUUGUUUAAUGGUGCAUUCGAGUUAAUUCUAGUGAUAUGGCACAUAGGAAACAAGUAUUCCAGUCUAAGGUUCUUCAGAGGCUGUACCUUACCUCCCAGGCCUGCGAAAGAAUCCAGCUCUCCACUCGCUGAGACCACUGUGAAACAAAAAGUAGGCCUAGAGGAGGAGGGCACUAUCACUGGAGAUAGAGGGAUAACACUAUCCCCAGCCAGGCAGACGAGUAUACACAGUCCUAGCUCCCCCUGCAGACUACAAGACGAGUGCAGAGGGAUCUGUCACGCCUUCAGCCAGCAUGCAUAAAUACUGUGGAGUUGUUGAGAACACUCAUGAGUCCAACAAAGAUGAAGAGGUAGAAGAAGACGAUGGAGGAAGAAGAAAAAGAAAUGGGAACUAUAGCUCCUGGAGGUGGGACAGUGGUGGACGGAGCGGGCCAGGUUACAGAAUCCAACCCUGGGGACCCCCAUGGAGGAAGGAGUGUGGCUCAACUAGAAGAGGAGGACGCAACGUCAUCAACAGAAGCUCUUGUCUCUGGGUCUGGUGCCCCGUGCUGCAGCUCGAGUUCACCUUCGAGAGCGAGGGGGAGCGGAGGGGGGGGGAAGAGAUGAGGCAGAGAAGAGCAGCUGAAGUGAUAAUCUUCCUCAGGACCACACAAGAUCUACGUGUCUGAUUGUGAGUGUGACGUACCAGGGCUGCUAAUCAACCCAGAUACGGUCACAUAUAGCCUAAGCUGUGUUUCAGUCUUCCUAAGAGCUGGCCAAAAGUGCUGAAGCAUAGUUCAUUUUAUAGCUUUCGGAUUGGCAGAAAAUAAAUAAUUUGAACAGCACUGUGCAGAGCACACGCAAAUUGAAAGUGAAAGCACAUCUCAUUAAUCACUAGCCUAUAACAACUUGAGGACCUUGAGAGAUUUAGGAAUCGAGGUGUAGAGGUUUGGGUUUACUUCAUCAUGCUCAAAUGUAAUGGACAGGCUCAGUCAUCUGGUCUGUCAUAAUCCCUCCUUGACUUGCCUCUGGAGGACUAGACAGACAGUCAGUCAGUCCAAAGAAUCCCAUUGGUUCCAGGGAUUAAGGUUUCUCUGUUGGUGAAUUACUGUGGAAGGCUAAGGAGGAAGACCUCUGGAAAUGUCCACAGUAGUUCAGUUAAAGGGGCCAGAUGCUCCUGUUCCUUUAAUGCACCUCAGUCUAGAGAUAGACCAGGUGAUUAGACACAGGCCCAUUCAGCAACGGAGCUUAUAAUGGUUGGUGGAGUAAUAGUAUACUUACUCCACUACCAAGCAGGUUCAUCUGGUAGUGGAGGGCCUUCUGACCAGCCUGUACAAUGGAACAUUCCCCCCUGCUGUUUUUGCCCAGCUCCACAGCCUCUAGUCCCUGGUGCAGCAACAGGACACAGCAAGGAUGGCAAAGGAUCUGCAGGAGCUCCAGAACAGCUCUACCAUGUCUACUGGUGAUGCCACUGCAGUUGUGUCCCUGUUUCAGUAUUGGAUCACAGACAUCCCGCCCAUGCAGAGAGAAUGGAAAACAGGCCAACCAACAACACAGCCUUAGACUUUCCUAGAUGUUCAGGGUUUUAAACAAUACUGCUGACGGAAAACAUGUCUGACUCUUUCAUUCACUGAUUCAUUGUGAGCCCAUGUAACGGAGUUAAGUACAUACCGUAAGCUCACUUCACAGCUAGCUUGAAAUGUUGCGGGUGGAGCCAUCCAAUCGGUACCUUUUGGGUGGCUCAAACCGUUGGAAUGUUGUCAAGGAGGGAGGCCACGUGUGUUAUCAAAGCAGAGGUCCCGAGUUCGAGCCAGGUACGAGCCGAAUCGGGGAGGUGAUACCAGACAAAAUUAAUUAACCGUUUAAUGGAUUUUUCCCACAGAAAAGUGAGGCGAGCAAGUGUUUUAUUUUUGUUUUUUAUAAAUGAAAACAUUAAGUGGAUAAGGAAUAACAGUACUUUACCACAUUGUCCUAUGCACCUGUGCGAGCUCUAGGCCUAGUGUGAGAUUCAAGAGUUAUAUUAUUCCAUGUGAAAACCUACACUAUUUUUCUUAAAAAGAAUGCAGAUGUUACAAUGUUGUUAUAACCAUGAGAAAUGAAACGCACUAAAGUAUAACUUGUGACAGUUUCGUUAUUCCUGAUCAAAAAAGUGAUCUCUGAUAUACACAAUCGUUCAAAAGUUUGGGGUCACUUAGAAAUGUCCUUGUUUUUGAAAGAAAAGCACUUUUUUUUUGGUCCAUUAAAAUAACAUCAAAUUGAUCAGAAAUACAGUGUAGACAUUGUUAAUGUUAUAAAUGACUAUUGUAGCUGGAAACGGCACAUUUUUCUUUUAAAGGAAUAUCUACAUAGCCGUACAGAGGCCCAUUAUCAGCAACCAUUGUCGUGGAGAAUCAUCUCAGAAAUAUAACACUCUUACAAGAACUUGUGAAUUCAAUAAAGACUUUAAUACAAAGUAGCAAAGCCGAGCCCCUCCAUGGAAAGAGACUAAAUUCUCAUAUUACAGAGUCCUGCCUUUAUAGGAUUCUGUCUUUGCAUAACAUAUAGAGUCCCCUCCCUCUAUAUGAAAAUAGCUUCCCUUGACUUUUCUCUAUGAUUAUCUUUCCAUCUCAGAGCUUGCUUGUUCACGCCCACUAACGCUCAUAUCUGUUUUUGGUUAGGUUAUAACGACGACAGAACCCUUUUCACGUCCUAAAAUAAUCUAUGCAUUGCAUGCUUAUGUUUUACGUGUUAGUCAUCAGUUAUCUUGCUUCCAUCUUUCUUCCUGUAUCCUGCUGACCAUAGUAUGUCCAGCUGUCAUAAAUGUACGUGUGGUCUUGGUUAAUGUACUCUUUCAAAAAUAGAGUAUAGCCUGGGUGUCAUCUUCUCUUAAUGUGCAUGUCCUUGCUACUUCAUCCUAGCAACUAGACCUACUCGUAUUUAAUGCUCAGCUCUCCUCAAUGAUUUGCUACAACACCAUCACUCCUGUGUUCCAAUGGCACAUUGUGUUAGCUAAUCUAAGUUUAUCAUUUUAAAAGGCUAAUUGAUCAUUAGAAAACCCUUUUGCAAUUAUGUUUGCACAGCUGAAAACUGUUGUCCUGAUUAAAGAAGCAAUAAAACUGGCCGCCUUUAGACUAGUUGAGAAUCUGGAGCAUCAGCAUUUGUGGGUUUGAGUGUGUGGCGUGCUUGAACAGAGGCAUUUGUUGUUCUGUGGUCUGGCCCACAAUCAGAUUGAAUGCUCAAUAUUGACUUGUUGAGAGACACAUCAUCUUCACCGUAGUUCUAUUCACUGAGGAUGCUGAGAUUUUUCAACUAUGUCGAAGGGGGCUGGAUGGCUAGGAAACCUUGUCCUUGACAGUGAACUUUCCCAUCAUAGAAUGAACUAGAUGGAGAUGCUGGGAUCAACAUGACAGAUGGUACAAGUCCACUGAUGUGAUAAUCAUGGUCAGCAGCUGCUAGAACUUGCCCACUCACAGGAGCAAUGCUUGGAUGUUUGCCUCUGUUACAGGUCCCUAUAGGCUGGACAGGGAUGAUUGCCUUAUCAUCCACACAUAACAUUUCACUGUCCUUCUGCCACCAGCAGGCAAACUGUUUUAAUGUAGUUCCAAACUUUGAGUCUUGAUGUUCCUUUCUUAUCAUCCGUGACUGGACCAUGAACUUGAGGUCAAACCUUCCUGUGUACUGGAGCAGACAAAUUCUUAUUUUCAAUGACAGCCUAGGAACAGUGGGUUAACUGCCUUGUUCAGGGGCAGAAUGACCGAUUUUUACCUUGUCAGCUCGGGGAUUUGAUCUUGGAACCUUUCGGUUUUAUUUACUUAUUUUUUAUUUUACCAUUAUUUUACCAGGUAAGUUGACUGAGAACACGUUCUCAUUUGCAGCAACGACCUGGGGAAUAGUUACAGGGGAGAGGAGGGGGAUGAAUGAGCCAAUUGUAAACUGGGGAUUAUUAGGUGACCAUGAUGGUUACUAGUCCAAUGCUCUAACCACUAGGUUACCUGCCGCCUCAUGUCUGCAAUCAUUGACAUGAGCUGUGUAUUCGUUAAAAUACUUCUGUACUUCAUCCCAAAAGGGCUGAAAUUAGGAUUGUGGUUUGCCAUUCAGCUUCCUUAAAUCCAUGAUCAGGUCUGGGUCAUCAACAUCAAGGAGGAACAAGGAUACUCUCUUAUCAAGUAGGCCCUGUUCAUCAUCGUUUGCUUAACUCUUGUCAUCUGUCAGAAACUGAUACAUUUCUCUCGGGAAGUAGCUGUUCACUUUGCAGCGUGUGUGUAUUUGUUCAUGAAUGUUUUUUGCAUUGCUCUAGUGUGGGGUAUGUUGGUAUUUCUUUUCUCAGUGUGGAGAUGACAGAAGCUUGCCUGGUCUCAUGAACACCAUUGCUAUGUGAGGAUACCUUCCAUAUGAAUGUCAGAGUGCCUAGGUGGUUACCACAGGCAUACUUGUAUACAGUGAAAGUCAAUGGAAGUUUCAAGUUGUCAAUCCAUUUCCUUGGGAAUCUAUCUUCAGCAGCAAAGUCCAGUAGAAAGAGGGGGCUGUAAUUGGGGCACUUUAUCCAAAGCUUGUAACAGAGUGCUGUACUGGGGGCUGACCGGUCCACAUGAUGCUCACAGUGUAGCAUAAAACAUCAGACUCUGGUGUACGUAGGGGAGUGGGCUGUUGGUGACGUCUGGUCAUUGCUUGAUUCACCUUCUCCCAGUGGGAUGCUUCAGCUACUAUGGACUCUGUUAGACGCAGCACAUCUUCUCUGAGAUCUAAUGUGAACAAGGAAUACAGGCAGUUUAGGUUGAGAGGUUUAAAACAUAAAGCUUGCACGUUUUACAUUCCCUGAAUAAAUGGUGACAUUUUACAAUACCAGACACUGUGUUUGACAUGAAUCUACAAGGGGUAGUAGUGCGCCACAAACUUAAUUGAUAUAGAAAAAUGACACAAUACAUUCAUUAAAAUACCUGUGAAGUGAUUCCAUUGUGUCCAGGGCUGAGAUAUUGAAAUAGACAGCUGACUGCAAUGAAGCUGAUUCUGACUUAGUUUUGGUGCCUUGUGUCGUGUUUCCUGGUACCUGUUGGUGGAUCCAAGGCCUUGUGUUUAAUUGCAGGAAUCUGUCUGGUAUGGCUAAGCCUCCCUCUUUAAACUUCUCUAGAUGGAGGUCCAUAUACCAGAGUGCUUUUGAUAAUCGGGUAACGGAUGUCCAGGCUAUAUGGACAUGAAAAAUAGGAGAAAUAUUAUAUUUCAUCCUGAUUAUCAGAUUAUUAAAAAAUCAAUUAACAAUAAUGAACAUUGUUCACAUAGGAUAUAUAAUAGAAUGAUAUAUUCAAAAAUGAUUGGGAAAUAGCCUAACAAGGCAUUAACAAAUGAAGACAAUACAAAUAUAAAGGCCUUUCAUAGACUACCCUUUCUAGGAAAAAAUAUGCCAUUAAUAAAGGGCAAUCAUUUGAAUUGGGUCAAAUUAAUGGAAAAAGUGCAAGCCAAUCUCGUAAUUUAAUGUGAUGUAUAGGGAAAUAGAGUAGACAAAAAAAAUUUAAUUCAAGAAUGAUGGACAAUAAAUAAUUGUAAUCAGAUUAAAAUGUUGAUGUAUAAUAAUGUGUUCAUUACCUGACUGCAUCUCUAUAGCCUAGGCGUUAACAAAAUAUUAAUUCAAAUAUGAUUAGGCCUCUCAUAGACUAUGCCUUGUAGAAAGAGAGUCAAUCAAGUUAGGUCUGCCAAAUUAAUGUAGCAUUGGCAAAAAUACAUGAAUCCAGCCAUAGAGUAUAGCCUAUCAUCACCAAAUGUUUGUUUUUGUUUUUAACGUGCACAAUUAGAAGCAUCAAAUCUAUAGAGCAAGUUUGAGCCCUGUAACUUUGCUCACCACAUCCUCCUUUGAUUGUCUCGUCUGGCUGCCACGAAAAGCCCCCACCUUGGAGAGACAGUCGAUCACAUCAUUGUGGAGCUGCUGAUCGGCACGAAGUGUGUGUGUGCGAUGUACUUCGCUGGACAUGUUCUCGGCGGCGCAUUAUCACUUCAAAAGCAUUCCGUCUUGGUGUUAUCGGUUGGCCUGCUACUACUGGUAGUACCGGUAAAAUAUAAGUUAUGAAUCGAAAAUCGCCAUACAGCUGAAACACUUUGAUUUCAUCAAUCAUUUUGGCUUUAAUUUGGUUGUCCAAAAUAUUUGAGAUUCUUUAAAGUAGCCACCCUAUGCCUUGAUGACAGCUUUGCACACUUAGCAUUAUCUCAACCAGCUUCAUGAGGUAGUCACCUGGAAUGGAUUUAAAUUAACAGGUGUGCCUUGUUAAAAGUUAAUUUGUAGAAUUUCUUUCCUUCUUAAUGUGUUUGAGCCAAUCAUUUGGGUUGUGACAAGGUAGGGGUGGUAUACAGAAGAUAUUUGGUAAAAGACCAAAUCCAUAUUAUGGCAAGAACAGCUCAAAUAAGCAAAGAGAAACGACAGUCCAUCAUUACUUUAAGACAAGAAGGUCAGUCAAUCCAGGAAAAUUUCAAGAACUUAAAGUUUCUUCAUGUGCUGUCACGCCCUGAUCUGUUUUUCACCUGUCCUUGUGCUUGUCUCCACCCCACUCCAGGUGUCUCCCAUCUUCCCCAUUAUCCCCUGGGUACUUAUACCUGUGUUCUCUUAUACCAGCGUUUUGUCUCAGCUCCUGCUUUUCCCUAGUCUCUUUUUCUCACCCUCCUGGUUUUGACCCUUGCCCGUCCUGACUCUGAACCCACCUGCCUGACCACUCUGCCUGACCCUGAGCCUGCCUGCUGUCCUGUACCUUUGCCCCACUACUCUGGAUUAUCGACCCCUGCCUGCCUUGACCUGUCGUUUGCCUGCCUCUGUUGCUGUAAUAAACAUUGUUACUUCAA